CGAACGGCGAUCACCUGCCGUUGUGGCUCUGACUCACGUCCGACCCUUACCGAACAUAACUUCUUCAUAAUAAUUAUUUUAAUGUACUUGUUUUUCGUGAAAUAUCGGAGUAUCCAUCAAUCGUUAAUUAUUAUUAUUGUAAAUCCCACGGUGGCCCGACACUUUGUUAUGAUAUCCGCUGCGGAUAAACCGACGGACACAUGGAAUUUCAAGCGAAAACUUUGUUAUUUGAUGGUGCAGCUACAAAACUACAGAGUGUAUGAUCUUCUAUGGCGCGGAGCCAUGAGAAUUCAAAUAGCCACUUUUUAAGUCGAUGGUGCAGCUACAAAACUUAUGCGCAGCCAGGAGAAUUCCAACCGCCAAAGUAGCUGUUGCAAUACGAGUAAAGUGGAUGGUGGAGCUAUAAAUCUACAGUGUGUUUGCUUGUAUAGGACUCAGUAAGAAGAAUUACAAUCGUCGGAAAUGAUGCUGCAAAGGAUACUCAUUAUCUGAGUAUAUUUCUGGAUUUAUAGAAGCCUAGUUUUAAAGUAUUCUAUUCGUUUUUAUUUAUAAUUUCUCUAUAAACAUGUACAUUUACCAGAACCAUGCUCGUUUAAGUUCACAGUUGGAAGUGCCAAAACAUUUUGUCCGUUAAACUCAUUUGCGUCAUUAGUUAUAAAUAGAGAGCACAAUUUUUUUUCGACCAAGUUUACAAAACUUAAAAUUAGAAAUAAA